rnacentral:rRNA from 1 species
AGAGUUUGAUCAUGGCUCAGGAUGAACGCUAGCGGGAGGCUUAACACAUGCAAGUCGAGGGGCAGCACGAGGUAGCAAUACUUUGGUGGCGACCGGCGCACGGGUGAGUAACGCGUAUGUAACCUACCUUGUACAGGGGGAUAGCCCGGAGAAAUUCGGAUUAAUACCCCAUAAAGAUAUUUUGGGGCAUCUUAAGAUAUUUAAAGUUUCGACGGUACGGGAUGGGCAUGCGUAACAUUAGCUAGUUGGUAGGGUAAUGGCCUACCAAGGCUACGAUGUUUAGGGGUCCUGAGAGGGUGAUCCCCCACACUGGUACUGAGACACGGACCAGACUCCUACGGGAGGCAGCAGUGAGGAAUAUUGGUCAAUGGGCGCAAGCCUGAACCAGCCAUCCCGCGUGCAGGAAGACGGCGCUAUGCGUUGUAAACUGCUUUUCCAGGGGAAGAAAACCCGCUACGAGUAGCGGCUUGCCGGUACCCUGGGAAUAAGCAUCGGCUAACUCCGUGCCAGCAGCCGCGGUAAUACGGAGGAUGCGAGCGUUAUCCGGAUUUAUUGGGUUUAAAGGGUGCGUAGGCGGAUUAAUAAGUCAGUGGUGAAAACCUGCAGCUUAACUGUAGAACUGCCAUUGAUACUGUUAGUCUUGAGUACGGUCAAGGUAGGCGGAAUGUGUAAUGUAGCGGUGAAAUGCUUAGAUAUUACACAGAACACCGAUUGCGAAGGCAGCUUACUGGGCCAUUACUGACGCUGAUGCACGAAAGCGUGGGGAGCGAACAGGAUUAGAUACCCUAGUAGUCC